AACGAACGCUGGCGGCAGGCCUAACACAUGCAAGUCGAACGCGUCCUUCGGGACGAGUGGCAGACGGGUGAGUAACGCGUGGGAACGGUACCCUUUGGUUCGGAACAACAGCGGGAAACUGCUGCUAAUACCGGAUAAGCCUUCGGGGAAGGAUUUAUCGCCAGAGGAUCGGCCCGCGUUAGAUUAGCUUGUUGGUGAGGUAAUGGCUCACCAAGGCUACGAUCUAUAGCUGGUCUGAGAGGAUGAUCAGCCACACUGGGACUGAGACACGGCCCAGACUCUUACGGGAGGGCAGCAGUGGGGAAGUCUUGGACAAUGGGCGGAAAGCCUGAUCCAGCCAUGCCGCGUGAAUGAUGAAGGCCCUAGGGUU
rnacentral:rRNA from 1 species